AGGGUGCAAGCCCGAGAGAGCCGCAGUGAAUAGGCCCAGGCGACUGUUUAGCAAAAACACAGGUCUCUGCGAAGCCGUAAGGCGAAGUAUAGGGGCUGACGCCUGCCCGGUGCUGGAAGGUUAAGAGGAGCGCUUAGCGUAAGCGAAGGUGCGAAUUGAAGCCCCAGUAAACGGCGGCCGUAACUAUAACGGUACUAAGGUAGCGAAAUUCCUUGUCGGGUAAGUUCCGACCCGCACGAAAGGCGCAACGAUCUGGGCACUGUCUCAACGAGAGACUCGGUGAAAUUAUAGUACCUGUGAAGAUGCAGGUUACCCGCGAC
rnacentral:rRNA from 1 species